rnacentral:sRNA from 2 species
UUCGACUCGAGCGAAGCGAGAGAACGUUGCGUCAGCAACGGCCCGCAGGGCGAGCCACGCAGUGGCGAGUCAUCCUCUAUCACCGACCA